GCCCUUAUAGCUCAGUGGUAGAGCGCAGCACUCGUACUGUGAUAAUUCUUCUUGAAUAUAGUUACAAUUUACUAAUGCUGAGGUCCAUCGUUCAAUCCGGUGUGGGGGCA